CAAAAAAUAGAAUUGUUAGGUCACAUUUCAUAAGAUCGGGGGAAACCGUUUCAAAAUACUUUAACAAGUGCUUGGAAGUCGUUGGUCGUUUAAGGGGGCGGUACAUGAAGCAAGCACCAAAUGAAGUAUCACCAGAGAUUGCCACUAACCCGUUAUAUUAUCCUUAUUUCAAGGUAAUCAUUAUUAUAAUAUAACUACUCAUAAUCAAACAAUUAAUUUUACCUUUCUAUUAUUAAUAACUGUUUAAUGUAUCAUAUAGGAUUGUAUUGGCAUGAUAGAUGGAACCCAUAUCGACGCCAUGCUUCCCGCUAGCCUUGUUGCACGUUUUAGAGGUCGUAAAGGUGUAACUCAAAAUGUUCUAGCUGCAUGCACUCCCAACAAGUUAUUUUCGUAUGUUCUAGCUGGAUGGGAGGGAUCCGCAAAUGAUUAUAGAGUUUUGCAAGACGCGUUAUCUAGACCACAACCUCGCGGAUUGAGAGUUUACGACGGAAAAUAUUAUUUAUGUGAUGCGGGCUACACUACUAUGCAUGGCUUUAUCUCCCCAUAUCGAGGAGUGCGGUAUCAUCUAAAUGAGCACAAGG